ACACACACACACACACACACACACACACACACACACACACACACACACACACACACACACACACACUCACACUCUUACACUCACACACACACACACUCCGCUUGUCUCGCCGUCGUCUUCACGCUGCUUGAGGAGAAGCGUGACACACAGCCCGAGUGCUUCUGCUGGUACGCUCACUGCAGAUGCCGCUGUGCAUUAUGGGAACGCGCGACUCUUUCACCGAAAACUGCUUCUGCAUCCCACGAUGCCGUGCAAACCCUCGGGAGAUUUCAUAGGAUCUAUUGUGGUUUACCUCGUUUUUUUUUUGUUGCUUUGAUUUGACGGAACUCAAAGAUGAAGACCCGGCUGUGAACGCCGGAAGGCAUCAUGGGAGAUUGUUCAAAUGUUUCUGCACUGGAGUGACGCUCUGAGCUUCUUCAUGUUCCAGCAGGUCCAUCGUCAGGAGAUAAACUGCACUGAGCCAUCUUUCACACGACCGUCCUCAUCCUCAGAACAGAUCCUUCAUCACUUCCUCUCAUAGUGAGAAGCGCAGCGGUGUUUUCUGUUCCAGCGUCGUCUGGCUCCCGUUACAUUUAUCCCUUCAUCAAGAAGACACGAGGAGAGUAAAAGAUGACCGAAUGAUGAGUUUUAUUAAAUGCACACAUCAGGGUUUAGGAUGUUUUCAGUCGUGAUUUUUUUCUAGAUAUCCAGAAAGAUAUUUUCUAUAGAUCAGGAUAUAAUACCACAUUUAAAAAGCGACUAGAUGCAUUCACUUCCUGUGAGCUUCACAACAGAACAGAACUAAAACAGCUACGGUUUCAUUUAAAACAAUCAUUUGCACCGAUCGAGUAUUUUGGAGAUAAAUGGUUUUUUUUCUACAAACACUUGACAGUAAGAUUUUAUUUGUUAAUGUGUUUAGUUAAAAUGAACUAUUAAUAAGCAAUAUAUGCAUUUACAGCAUUUUUUUAAUUGGUUAAUUAUGGUUAAAAAAAGGCAUUUUUUAAAAGCGUAGUAUGUUCAUAACAGCAGUGUAAUAACUAAACACUGAGCACUGAUAUGAUGAAAUGUUCAAUUCUCCAUAUAUAAGAUGAUAAAUGCUGUACUAGUUAGCUGUUAACUGAUGGACGGAGAUGAACUGAUGAAAGCUGACUGUGAAGUGAUGUUCUCUGGUCAGGCCUGCUGUGUGUUGAUCUGCUGGACGUGUCUCUCUCUUGUGUUUCUUGAGUUCUUGUGUUUGUCUGUGAGUUUCUUCUCCUGGAGUGAAACGCUCUGUGUUUAACAUCUCUGUUACAGAGGAAAUACCUGCGACUAGGACUGACGCCGCAUUCAUUUAGUCUUAAUUUUAACGAGGAGGAGUAUGAAGCUGCUAGAAGAGUUUCAGUGGCAUUAGAGGAAGUGAUGUCAGAGGAAGCCGUAGCUUGUGCUCUCAUUCACUGCAAUAACCGCGGAGCAGCUGAGCUUCACUGCAGCAUGAACGUCUGCGUUUAUCAAGAGAACAGAGAUUAUAAAGCUAUAUUUAAGUUUUCGUGUGUUUGCUGUGCUAAUUUAUAUUGAUGUGACCUCUGACCUUUGUUGUGAAUGUUUUUGGGGUUUUUUUAAGAAAAGUUUUAAGAACCAA